UGAGGAAUAUUGGUCAAUGGGCGAGAGCCUGAACCAGCCAAGUAGCGUGCAGGAAGACGGCCCUAUGGGUUGUAAACUGCUUUUAUGUGGGGAUAAAGUGCGUGACGUGUCAUGCAUUGCAGGUACCACAUGAAUAAGGACCGGCUAAUUCCGUGCCAGCAGCCGCGGUAAUACGGAAGGUCCGGGCGUUAUCCGGAUUUAUUGGGUUUAAAGGGAGCGUAGGCCGCGUUUUAAGCGUGUUGUGAAAUGUAGACGCCCAACGUCUGCAUCGCAGCGCGAACUGGGACGCUUGAGUACGCGCAACGUUGGCGGAAUUCGUCGUGUAGCGGUGAAAUGCUUAGAUAUGACGAGGAACUCCGAUUGCGAAGGCAGCUGACGGGAGCGGCACUGACGCUUAAGCUCGAAGGUGCGGGUAUCAAACAGG
rnacentral:rRNA from 1 species